rfam:Gossypium arboreum cultivar AKA8401 contig_4654_1, whole genome shotgun sequence.
GGGCAUUUGGUCUAGUGGUAUGAUUCUCGCUUCAAAUGCGAGAAGUCUCGAGUUCAAUUCAAAAUACCUU